UACUCUAAGAAGGGGUGAGUCUUCGUCUUUUGGUUUACAAGACCAAUGUUUUUAGUGAAACUAUUAGAGU
rnacentral:tRNA from 1 species